UUUGAAGAUUUUUCUUUCAUUUUGUUUCGCUUUUGUUUUAAGUUGCCUGAACCUGGAGAUGGGUGAGACGGAAGAAAAACCACUCACAUCUGAGGAAAAACUAUUUGUGUCUGAGGAACACAUAGGGAGAAAGGAUGGAUGGACAUUUCAGGAGGAUACAAAGGGUGAUAUAAUGAUUUUUUGUUGUUCCAUUUUUGUUUCAUUCUGUUUUGGUUUUGUUUGGCGUUUUCUUGUUGAGUUGUAUUAUAGUAGAAAUAUGGGAUCAGAAAUUAGUAAAAAACAAACUGAAAGAGUGUUAAGUAAAUUGUUAGAGGAAGGAGGCAUCCCAGUAAAAUCAAGAGCAGUCAGGGCAUAGGUUGAUACAAUACAAAAAUGUAGCCCAUGGCUUUUUAAGGAGGAGUUGUUAAAUAUAUCACAAUGGAACCAUCAUGGUGAAGAUUUAAAAAGAAUAGAAAAGAAAAGCCCAGGAACUCUUCCAGUUGACACAUUGCCAUAGUGGACAUUCGUAUCUUGUUUGCUUAGUCCAAAGAAUUCAGUUCAGACAAUGGUAGAGGAAGGAGAAGACAUAUUGAUUCAAGUAAAAGAGAAGGUCUCUCAAGUUAUUCAGACAGAGGAAAAAAUUCAAGUAAAAGAGAAGGUCUCUCUAGCUAGUCAGACAGAGGAAGCAAGUUUAGAGCAGAAAAAGCCAUCAGGGGAAAAGUUACAACAGGAGACUGCUACUAACACCUUUCUAUCACCAAAGGGCGUAAGUGUCCAACCAACAGCGCCACCUCCAUAUGCUGGGAGGCCACCAACCCCCAUAGUUGAUAGAUGGGAUCUUGAUACAGGACCUCAAAUAUUAGCAUGCCCUGUAUUUGAGCAGGCAAGAGGGCAGCGAAUUCACCAUGCUUUAGAUUUCAAAACAGUAAAGCAGCUAAAAGAGGCUGUAACAACCUAUGGUCCUCAAGAACCCUUCACUGUAAGCAUGGUCGAAUCCAUUACCAACUUGAACAUGUCGCCAGCAGAUUGGACUAGUAUGUGUAAAGCUGUGCUAAAUGGAGGACUUUACCUGUUAUGGAAGGUUGCCAAUGAGGAAUUUUGCAAGGAGACGGCUAGGCGAAAUGCAGUAGCCAGUUAUCCUCAGAGAAAUCUAGGUAUGUUGUUAGGAAAGGAACCUUAUGAGGAUCAGCAGCAACAAACUGCAUAUGAUCCUGCCAUAUACUUACAAAUUGCUGUAGAUGUGGUUAGAGCAUGGAAGACUUUACAAGGACAUGGAGGUUUACAAGGUCAAUUAUCUAAGGUAAUACAAGGAGCUAAUGAACCUUAUGCUGAAUUUGUAGAUAGGCUUAUUCAAACAGCUACCAGAGUUUUGGGGAAUACAGAACAAGCAAUGCCAUCAAUAAAUCAACUGGCUUAUGAGCAAGCAAAUCGUUGGUGCAGAGAAGUCAUUAGACAAUGGAAAAAUGAAGAUUUAAACACAUAUAUUUAAUUAUGUAGAGACAUUAAUGAAUAAGGGCAAGUCUUAGCAGUUGCAGUACAACAGGCUUUAGAUGCCAUGCCAAAAACAUGCUACAAUUGUGAACAAACAGGACAUUUUACAAGGAAUUGCCCCAUAGGAGGAGGGUUUAACAAAACUAGGUAUCAAAGGAGUAGAAUAUCGGGUAUUUGCCCACGAUGCUGUAGAGGGAGAUAUUGGGCUAAUGAAUGCCAUUCUCAAACCACCAUAGAGGGUACUCCAUUAUUAAAAAAAAUGAACAAGGACCAGGUGUCUAUCCACGAAAUCAAGGAGAAAGGCAUCAGACUCCAUUGUCAAAAAACGGACAGGUGGGCCCAAUGCUCUGGGUCCCAUGACCACAAAUAUACGGGGCACUGGAGGAACCCAGCAACACCAUCAGGGUAGUGCCCAGGACACAUUAUCCAUUAGAUCCCUCACUAGACAAACCAGAGGAAUCACAGGAUUGGACAUCUGCGUCUCCACCAGAACAGUACUAACUCCAGAGAUGGGAGUUCAAAUCAUUCCCACAGGGGUAAAAGGACCUCUUCCCAAAGGAACAGUAGGCUUAUUAUUGGGGCGCAGUUCUUCUAUUCUAAAAGGACUUAUGAUAAGUCCUGGGGUAAUUGAUCCUGAUUAUGAAGGUGAAAUAAAAAUUAUAGCCAGUUCUCCUAAGGGUAUAUCACCAGGAGAUAGAAUAGCACAGUUAUUAAGAAUACCCAGCCUACAUGAUAAAUUUUCCAGUUGUAAUGUAGAAAGAGGUUCCAGGGGAUUAGGUUUCAUAGGUG
rnacentral:lncRNA from 1 species